rnacentral:rRNA from 1 species
AGCGAACGCUGGCGGCAGGCCUAACACAUGCAAGUCGAACGAAGUCUUCGGACUUAGUGGCGGACGGGUGAGUAACACGUGGGAACGUACCUUUUGGUUCGGAACAACUCAGGGAAACUUGAGCUAAUACCGGAUGAGCCCUUAGGGGGAAAGAUUUAUCGCCGAAGGAGCGGCCCGCGUUAGAUUAGCUAGUUGGUGAGGUAAAGGCUCACCAAGGCUACGAUCUAUAGCUGGUCUGAGAGGAUGAUCAGCCACACUGGGACUGAGACACGGCCCAGACUCCUACGGGAGGCAGCAGUGGGGAAUCUUGCGCAAUGGGCGAAAGCCUGACGCAGCCAUGCCGCGUGAAUGAUGAAGGUCUUAGGAUUGUAAAAUUCUUUUACCAGGGACGAUAAUGACGGUACCUGGAGAAAAAGCCCCGGCUAACUUCGUGCCAGCAGCCGCCGUAAAAC